UAUACAUUAAUUCUUAGAAAGUAAAUUACAAUACUCUUUAAAAUACAACUGUGGUUUGAAAAAUUAGAAAUAUCCCAUGUCAGUACAUCAUUUUUCUGUUUGUUUGUUUGUUUGUUUGUCUUUUCCCUUUCCUGCAAGCGCUUAAUGAUCUUACAUUUUUCUUCACCAAAAGGUCUUUUCAUUGACCCUUUAUUUAUUCCUUAAUAAACAGCUGGUCUUCUCAUGUUCUUGCAAAAUCUUGGAAUUCCAUUUUUAGUUCAGGUACUAUGGAAUAUGUAGAGAAAGUACUAUGGUGCAUUAAAUGGAAAUACUUUCAAUGUUGAUAUGAAAAAAUAUGCAGAAUUUGUUCUGAAAGGACAGCUUGGCCCAAUAGUGAGGCUUGCCGUUAGCGUCUCUAAUAGUGUAUGUCCGAGCCAUGGAAACAACCUCUUCGAAAAUGGAGACGUUGUUUAAAUUGAAAGAGAUCAACAAGUACAAACAUGAUGGUGGGAAAACAAACUCACCACGACCACCAGAGGAGAACCGUACAUUGCUAUAGAGGCUACGAGUCCAAUACUUCCAACGAAUAUCUUGCGAUGGUGGUGAUCGUGGAAUGCAAAAGCUGAUAUUAUUGCAGUGAUGCAGAAAACUAGAAUAACAGGAUCUGAACCUCAUUCUAUGGACAGUUAUUCCUUUAAAUAACUCUGACAAAGAAGAGGCCUUCUAAUCUGACGGUUCAAAAUGAACUGAUUGUUGAUUUAUACCAUUCAUCACCAGAUGCUGUGCAGAGUCCAGAUUGAGAAUCAUUCUUUUAGAUGGGGAUUUUGUAUCGAAGAUAAGGUGUGAACAAUAUGAUUAAAUGCCAUUACAGUUGUAAUGGUGUAUAAAAGCAAAUGAAAUCCGAGCAUUUAGAAUAAAUAUAUUCUCUUGCUUUUGUGUAUUGGUUAUGUUGCGCACAAUACUCUUCAUGAGGAUUUUUGAACAAUAUUAUUUGUUAAUAAUUUCAAAAUCGAAGAAAUCUCAAGUCUCAAAUCUUGUUUUGGUUACUAUAAGUUAUCCUUUUUAUUCACGUGUGAUUCACCU